rnacentral:rRNA from 1 species
AACGGGUGAGUAACACGUGAGCAACCUGCCCUAGGCUUUGGGAUAACCCCGGGAAACCGGGGCUAAUACCGAAUAUGACCUGGCAUCGCAUGAUGUUGGGUGGAAAGUUUUUCGGCCUGGGAUGGGCUCGCGGCCUAUCAGCUUGUUGGUGGGGUGAUGGCCUACCAAGGCGACGACGGGUAGCCGGCCUGAGAGGGCGACCGGCCACACUGGGACUGAGACACGGCCCAGACUCCUACGGGAGGCAGCAGUGGGGAAUAUUGCACAAUGGGCGGAAGCCUGAUGCAGCGACGCCGCGUGAGGGAUGACGGCCUUCGGGUUGUAAACCUCUUUCAGCAGGGACGAAGCGUAAGUGACGGUACCUGCAGAAGAAGCGCCGGCCAACUACGUGCCAGCAGCCGCGGUAAGACGUAGGGCGCGAGCGUUGUCCGGAUUUAUUGGGCGUAAAGAGCUCGUAGGCGGCUUGUCGCGUCGACCGUGAAAACUUGGGGCUCAACCCCAAGCCUGCGGUCGAUACGGGCAGGCUAGAGUUCGGUAGGGGAGACUGGAAUUCCUGGUGUAGCGGUGAAAUGCGCAGAUAUCAGGAGGAACACCGGUGGC